rnacentral:lncRNA from 1 species
GUUAGUUAGGUGAGAAGGGGUGGGGACAUUAAUCCAAGUUGAGAAAAGCUGCAUUUGGAGAAACUAGGCAGGAUAGGAGCUCGACAUCAGCAGGUCUGACUGACUGGAACAGAAUAGUGAAGAGUUUGUGUUUGGAGAUUGCCAAGAAAAGGACACUAUUAUUCAGUUUCUAUUGGGCCAUGUCCAGGGACAAUAACGGACCAUGAAGAGAAAGGUCUGCAGUAGCCCAGAAAACCAAAGACCAUGCAAAUGGAGUACCGAUAGAAACCAAUGGCCUAACAGAUGUCAAAGGAAGAAGAAAGGGAAUGGCGCUCCCCAAAAACCUCAGCCUGAGAGAACUGUCACAAUUUGACCUCUUGGGAAGCUCUCUGAAAGGCUCUAGCUUCAGGACUUGUUUUUAUCUGAAUCAGAGCUCACUCUGUCUGAAUAUCAUUACUCUUAUGGCAUCCGUUGAAAAUUGUCCAUGGGAAUUUUUAACAUCACAGCUGCUUAAGGCAGCAAUACCAGUUUGGGUUAACAGGAGGCAGAUGUAAAAACCUGAAAGGAGAAACUGAGGAAUGUAGUGUCCAA